AGCUUUGUGCAGUGGCAGAAUCAUAGCCAAUGAGGUUUAUCUGAGACGCUAUUAUUGCUAAUAGAAAAAAAGAACCAAAACAUAAUACCUAUUAACAAUGUUGCUUAUGUUGCUUAUGUUGCUUCCCAGUGAGGAG